rnacentral:lncRNA from 1 species
CUGAAAGAAGGGGAAUCUGAAGAAGAACCAAAAGGCAUACUAGACAUAUCAAAUUUAUCUUUUGGACUGCACGGUCCAGAAAAAGAGAUACUACCCAUAGAACAAGAAGCGGCACUUGGGGCAGUUGGAGGUAAAGUGAAGUAGCCCCCACCAUGGCUCUGGCAACUAUUAGUUUUUCACUACCAGAACAAAUGCCUUCCACGCUUCCAGUUCCACUUCGUUCAUUGAGUUUCCGAACUCUGGAUCUCUGAUGAGCUGACAGAUCUGAGGACAAUCAAAGAUGCCAGCUUUCAACUUCUCCAUGGUCAAUCCUGGAAAAGCCUGGCACAAGUAAGUGAAGCAGUCACCAUCCUUGUCCAGAGCCUUGGUGAACUGCUUGAUUAAGCCGAGCUUGAUGUGCAGCGGUGGGAAGAGUAUUCUGUCUCUGUCCACCAGAGGGUUGUUGAUGACGUUCCUUUCUUUGCAAGGCACCAAUUCCUCCCGCACAGGCCAGUCAUUCUUCGUGUAAUGCUGAGCACAGUCCCUACUAUCUCACAUGCACANNNNNNNNNNNNNNNNNNNNNNNNNNNNNNNNNNNNNNNNNNNNNNNNNNNNNNNNNNNNNNNNNNNNNNNNNNNNNNNNNNNNNNNNNNNNNNNNNNNNAAAACAUGGGUACUUAGUGAAGCCAGACUGUUGUCCCAAUAAAAAGUUCACCAUCUUCAGGUCAACACAAAUAAACCACUUAUGCUGAUCAUAACCAAUUUUCUCCAGCACAUACUUCACCGCUUCAUAGUUCUCCUUCAGUGUACUUGAGUGAGCCAGGGGUAUAGAGGCAAACUGGUUGCCGUUGUAUAGCAGAACACAUUUCAGUGAUCGCUUGCUGCUGUCAUUGAACAGUCUCCAAUCUUUGGGUUCAUACUGUGGCACUCCAAGCUUGAGCAGAAGCUGUGCAAUAUCUGCACAGUACACCAAGUCCUUCUCUUCCGAGAAAAAAUGGAGGUUUUAUGACUUCAAACUGUUCCCUUUUUGACAUAAUCACCCAGAACUAUCGGAUCUGAAUACUUCUUGUCAUUAAAAUAAUCAUUUCCAAUCAAAACAAUUAUUCGACAUGGCAUUUUACCCACACCAACUUCUUCUAAAAUGCUCCACACAAGCGUACAUGUGAACAAAAACGAAAACAAAAACAAAAACGACAUGUGGCCAUAGCUCAAAAACUUGACCUGAUUGAGCAAAACCAAUGUGAUUUUUGGAUUCAGCGCAUCAGAUUCAUCCUAAAUCAACUGAAAAAACACAGACAACAGAUUUGUUGUUGAUCAGUGUUAUCGUAUCGUAUCGUAUCGUAUUGUAUCAUAAAGUCCUGGCCCAGGUGUGACAUACCUCCCCUUGACUCUAGCCUUGAUGAGAGAGCCUUUGUGGGGUGUCUGGUUGUGCCCCCUCAGAAAUUUGCACCCAGGGCCACGGUCCCCCUGCCCCCCUCCCACUACGCCACUGAUUUCACAUUCUCUUAACAAAGAAUUCUUGGCACUCUCAACAAGCCACAACUCCUAGGAUUCCUUGUGGGAAGCCAUGCUACUUAAACAAGCAUAAAAGCAAUGUACCUUUGCAAUGUAUAUAAAUACAGAGAAAGACCAAGAGAUCUUAUAAAUACUAGUACAAUGAUAGUGUGCUUGCUCAGCAAGGUUUUAUUUUGAGCAGUUAAGGAAAACAAUUAAAACUUCUCCAAUGCAAGAUUUAAUCGGAAGUGUGAAAAUAUCACACUGAGCUUUCCCUUAGCUUGCAUGGAGUGCUAGCAUGAAAUACAACACAACAACGUGAGGUUGUUUUGCAUUGCUUUCGAGCACAACUGUGAUGCAUUAAGGCGAGCAUAAAACAUGAGGGGGAAACUGUGAAAAGGCUCCUUCAGCAGUUCUUCUGUAUGAAUCUUUUAAAAAGGACACCUUGUUUGCUUUGCAUUAAGAUCCUGUGAUUAUUCUGAAUGCUGCAUUGCACGCCCUCCCCUAGCUGUGGGAGUGGUUGUGGGUAUUUUGUACACCUACACACACAGAGAGCAGUCACAUACCCACAUUAAAAAAACAAAAACACCUAUUCUGCCAGCAGAAAAGUAAAACAAAGUGCAUCUGCAUAUAUUUGAGAAGGCACACAUUCACUCAGCUCCAAGAAAGCUGGCUUUGACCCAAGUUGGAUUGUUAUUGCAAGAAAUGGGAGAAUGGAAGGAGAAUUCCUUGGGGAGGGAGUAGAGCUCAGCAACAGAGCACAUGCGUUACUCAUAGGGAUGGAAGGAUCUGUCAAUUUCGGUUCUCUCCGUUUCUCAUUUUCUGAUCUUAAAUUCAAUUCCCCACAUUACCCCCCAUUUCUGCAACAAUUUGCAUUUUUAAAAAAUCCCUAUGAAAGUUUGCCAGCAAUUUAGGGUUAAUUUCUCAUAAUGAACACAAGCAAUGCUUGCAAGCAAUCUAACAUAAUGCAUUUUUGUAUGUUAUUUUAAGCGAUGUAGUAAUAUUUAUACACACUUUUUUCUUGUAAAUGCUUCUUAGUUGGAGAACUGUACUGCCAAAUUUGAAGUUUGGCUGUUUUGGUUCCCAUAUAGCAUGGGUAGGCAAACUAAGGCCCGGGGGCUGGAUCUGGCCCAAUCGCCUUCUAAAUCCAGCCCACGGACGGUCCGGGAAUCAGCGUGUUUUUACAAGAGUAGAAUGUGUCCUUUUAUUUAAAAUGCAUCUCUGGGUUAUUUGUGGGGCAUAGGAAUCCGUUCAUUCCUCCCCCCAAAAAUAUAGUCCAGCCCCCCACAAGGUCUGAGGGACAGUGGACUGGCCCCCUGCUGUAAAAGUUUGCUGGCCCCUGCAUAGUUUCAGAAACUGAUUUGAUAUUUGCCUUUAAAUGUGAACUUUAUUUGUGGUUUCAGAGUUAGCGCUAACCAAGGCAUCUUGAAUUGUAGCCAACUAAGUUCUGCUUAGAGUCAAACUGGAGGAUGGAGACAAGGGCAGAUGGACGUGUGGGCGUUCCAGGCUAGCGGUCCAAGCAAGGUGAGGAGGUCUGCUCCAGAAGACAGAGAUACAAGUGGGUCAGCAGCUGAAAUGAGGAGGAGAAGGGAACCGGAGAACAGAGACAGAGACAGGAGAGUAGAUGGGCAACCCAGGUGAACAGUCCAGGUGAGGUGUGGAGAUAUGGUAAGGUCCAGGGGUAUUUUAUUUGCGAGAUGUAAAGGGAGGUAAAGGGGGGGGGGUGUUUGGUGAGGUGUAAGUGGGGGGAGGGGAUUGACAAAGCAGUUGGGAUUGGGUGGGGGGUGGGGGCAAGAGCAAUUAGUGAGCAAAGCCCCUAGUUCUCUAUAUUGAUAGUAAUCUGUAUUUUGAUAGUUUUGUUUUGUCUGCUGUUGAUUUUGUCAGCAUUUUCUUAUGAGUAUGUUAUACAGUGGUACCUUGGUUCUCAAAGUUAAUCCGUUCUGGAAGUCUGUUCCAAAACCAAGCAUUCCAAAACCAAGGCACACUUUCCCAUAGAAAGUAAUCUAAAAUGGAUUAAUCCAUUCCAGACUUUCAAAAACAACUCCUAAAACAGCAAUGAAUUUUACUAUUGAACGAGACCAUUGAGCCAUAAAAUGAAAGCACUAAUCAAUGUUCUGUACUAUAAAAUAAAUAAGACAGUGUUGUAGAUGAUAACAAUUAUUAUUUUUUCUUACCUGCACUGAUGAUAGUCAUUGUUUGGAUGGGGGGCUUUUAUCCAUUUCCACAGUUACACAAUCAAUCAAUCAAUCAAUCAAUCAAUCAUAAAAUGAAAAACAAGCCACAGUCACAAAAAUGAAAAAGUCACACAAACAAAAAUGCAAAAAUUAGCAAAAACAAAAGCACCAAAUAUCACCUCAGAACAUUGCAAUCAGAAAUGGAAGGCUUUAAUUACGAUGGGGGGGGGGAGACUUAAAUUAGCUGCUCAAAGAUACAAAUGGGAUGAAAAAAGGCUUAAUUACGACAAGGGGGGGGCCUUAAAUUUGCUGCACAAGGGUAAAACAAGAGGGGGAAAGCCUUAAUAAUUAUGCAGGGGACUCAAAUUUGCUGCACAACAGUAAAAACAGAAGCUCAGGAGCAAGUUCGGCUUCCAAGGCAAAGUUUGAAAACUGGAACACCUACUUCUGGGUUUGCAGCAUUCGGGUUCUGAGUUGUUUGGGAACUAAGUUGUUCGAGAACCAAGAUACCACUGUAUUAUUUUAUGUAAAUCACUCUGGAGAAGUUUUUUUUUAAAAAUAAGUGGUAUAUAAAUUGAGUGAAACAAACAUUGCGAGUGAGACAGCAGCAGCUGCUAGUGCAACUGGCUAGAUUAGAAGGGACAAGGCAAGUUGUGUGGCAAGUGCAGCACCAUCUUCUAUCACUCCCUCAACCACUUUCUGGCUCCAGGCAUUAUUUAUUUGCUCAGUUUUGCAUUUGUAUAUCAUGUAAUCAUCAAGAAAAAAACACGCUGUUUGAAACAGUGGUUCUAAGUAGUUUUACAAAGCAUAGGCUUGCAGCCACCUUAGUGUUAAAUACAGUGGUACCUCGCAAGACGAAUGCCUCGCAAGACGAAAAACUUGCAAGACGAAAGAGUUUUUUGUUUUUUGAGUUGCUUCGCAAGACGAAUUUCCCUAUGGGCUUGCUUCGCAAGACGAAAAACGAAAACGUCUUGCAAGUUUGUUUCCUUUUUCUUAAAACCAUUAAUACCCAGGGUGACUUCGAGGAGCAACUCAUAGCACGCGGUGUGGUAGCCUUUUUUGAGGUUUUCUGAAGACUUUGCUGAUUUUGAAGACUCUGGGAAACUGUGCUUCGCAAGACAAAAAAUUCGCAAGACGAAAAAACUCGCAGAACGAAUUAAUUUCGUCUUGCGAGGCACCACUGUAACUUUGUUGCUCUUUAGUCAUUUAGUAGUGUCCGACUCUUUGUGACCCCAUGGACCAGAGCACGCCAGGCACUCCUGUCUUCCACUGCCUCCUGCAGUUUAGUCAAACUCAUGCUGGUAGCUUCAAGAACACUGUCCAACCAUCUCGUCCUCUGUUGUCCACUUCUCCUUGUGCCCUCCAUCUUUCCCAACAUCAGGGUCUUUUCCAGGGAGUCUUCUCUUCUCAUGAGGUGGUCAAAGUAUUGGAGCCUCAGCUUCAGGAUCUGUCCUUCCAGUAAGCACUCAGGGGUGAUUUCCUUCAGAAUGGAUAGGUUUGAUCUUCUUGCAGUCCAUGGGACUCUCACGAGUCUCCUCCAGCACCAUAAUUCAAAAGCAUCAAUUCUUUGGCGAUCAGCGUUCUUUAUGGUCCAGCUCUCAUUUCCAUACACCACUAUUGGGAAAACCAUAGCUUUAACUCAGAAGCAUAGAAUUGUAAGCGAUCACAAGAAUUGUUUCGUCUAACUCCAGGAAUCUUUUGCCCAACGUGGGGCUUGAACCCUUGACCCUGAGACUGGAAGUCUUGUGCUCUACCAACUGAGCUAUCCCGGCUCAACUUGCUCAUCUGGGUUUCUAACACGCCAGAACAUAUUUAGGGAGGAUGCAAGGCGCCAGGUGAAAUGAGUGCACUGGGUACUACCCAUAACACACGCACCCCAAGCCAAUCACACAACCUUGUUACAAUACACAAUACUUUUUUAAAAAAAGAAACCCACCUACCAUAAUUAAAACACAUUUCUUUAAAACAUUGAAGUAUAAAGGUCCAUAAUGAAAAGAUGCAGGCAGCUGCCACAUUGUGCCUAAUGGUAGGGCCAGCCCUGAGUAUAUUAGAUGGCUAACCUAGCUCUGGGUUGUGUGAUAAGAGGCUCCUGGCUGCAGGAGCUUCAGCUGCUUUUGUACUGUCUCAUUUUCAGAUCAGAGGAGGAAGAAAAGGGGGGGGGGAGAGGAUAAAUAAACAAGGAAACAAACAAAAAGUUUCCGCUAAAAUCAUCUCUACGACUGCUAGGACUUUUUCCCGGCUUAGCAAUUUCCCUCCCUCACAACUUCAAUCUCACCCAUGAAAGAAAAGGCAAAGGAAAAAAAAUUGAAAUGCUGCAUUCUCUCUCUCUCUCUCUCUCUCUCUCUCUCUCUCUCUCUCUCUCUCCCUCUUUGUUAAGGCUUCUUUGCUGCAGGCAGUUGUAGAAAGCAAAGGGUAUAAAAAUAAAACCAAAAAUACCCAGGAGAAGCACAUUUCUGAAGUUUUUCUCAGGUUCUGCUACUGAGGACAAAAUUAAAAAAUAAAUAGCUUCUCUCUAGCUUUCCCUUUGUACCCCAACUUAAAAAUAAAAUGAAAUACAAGAUGUGUGAGCUCAUAGAAUAAGAGGCAUGGAGUGGGUGGGUGGGAAGCCUGUUGUUAAAAAGUAAUAGGCUUAAUUGCAAGUGAGACUUCUGUUUAUAUCCAUUCUGAGUGCCUCAUAAAUACUGAAAAGACUUACUGCAUUACUGCAUUUCAAAUAAGCUCAAGACUCAUCAGUAUUAUCCAUUCAUUCAUUCAAUUUUUCCAUUGCUUUCUGCAUGCAGCUGAAGGAGAUUUACAAACACAACAUAAAAACAGCUAAAACAGUACAAAACAACAGCUAAGCAACAUAAAAUGAACACCUUUUGACCCACCCAGAAAGUAUGAUUUAACAAGAAAGUCUUUAUUUGUUUCUGGAAAGAACGCACAAUGCGUUCCAUAGUGCAGAUAUUGUGGCAGUUCAGUGGGUGAACAUUAGAAUUGCAGAGUCAGCAGGGACCACAAAUAUUAUUAAGUGUAAUCCAGUGCUGAUGUAGGAAUUCCAUCCUCAGCUUGAAACCUUCUAAUGAAGAAGAGUCCACCAGUCUUCUGAGUCAGGCUGUUCUGCUGUCACACGUCUUGUCCUCAUGUUUGGCGGAGAUCCCCUGUCUUGUAAUUUGAAUUGGUUGGUUCGAGUCUCACCCUCUUGAAGCAGUAGAAGUUUGCUCUGUCCUCUAUGUGACAGCCCAUCAAAUGUUUGAAGACAAUUAUUAUACCAUCUCCUGAUCAUCUCUGCUAUGGACUAUACAUACCCAGUUCCUUCAAGUUAUCCUUGUAGGGCUUGGUCUCUAGGAACCACACCAUUUUUGAUGUCUUCCUCUGGACACAUUCCAGUUUGUUAGUAUCUUUUGUAAACUUUGUUGCCUGGGAUGGGUCACGAUGCUCCAGGAACAAAAGCAGAAUAGAGUGGUUACCAUUUCUUCUUUUGAUCUGGACACUACACAUCUGCUGGUACAACUUAGAAUUACACUACCCAUUUUAGGCAGCUCGUCACACUGCUGGCUUGUACAGUAUUUAGCUUGUGGUGUACUAAAACCCCUAGACACAUUUCACAUGUACUGCUGGUAAGCCGGCUGUCGCCCACCCUGUAUUUUCACAUCUAACUCUGCCUGCCUUAAUGCAGAACUUUACACCCAUCUCUGUUGAAAUUAGUUCUGACCCAGUUCUCCAUUACGUUUACGGCAAUCCGAACAAACACGGGGAUUUUUGUUUUUCAGUUUUUGUGUACAAUUCCGCACUGCUGAGAGACAAAGUGGUUUUGAAAUCCGACAGCUGACUUUUUUCUUUGGCAGUGGAAACAAUGAUAACAAAUAAAGCUGGUUACAAACUUAAAGGACUCCCUUCCCCUUAGCUACUGUUAUUCAGAAGCUAUGGCUAGCUCAGGGAUAGCCUGAGAUUUUUUUUGUUGCCAGCUUCUGCCAUCCUGAAUGUGAGGGACUGGCUGACUCUUUGUAGGAGCUGGCCUCCUAAGAACCCCCCAGGAAGAUGACAACUCAGAUCCGGGAUUAUGGUGGUGGGACACCAAGGAACAGUCUGGGGAAGGUGUGAGCUGAGAUGUGCUAGAAGCAGGGGGUUUGAGCGAUCAGGGGACCACAACAGGUGAAGGAGGCCCUUCCAGGACAGGGUUAGAGGCUGAGAGUCACAGUGUGGGUGCAGAUUCAGACAGAAAGGAGUCAGAGGUUGCCCUCUGCAUGUUGCUGAGUAAUGGGCCAGGCAGGUCCAGAGGAGGAGCUCACCCCCUCAACACAGUCUUUGUCUGCUUGGGAGGGAUACAGAAUGAGAGCCUAGAGGGGGAAGGAUGGGAGCUGGUACUCCUUUUCAGAUGGAUUAAGAUAAGCCAGAGGAGAGAACUCUGCUGUGCUGUUCUUUCCUGUUAAUAAAAAGCUAACUGCAUUCCUUGCCUCCCAUUCUUUCCAGCCCUGUGGAUGACCUGGGCUCACUUGACAACUCCUUGACACCGAACAAGCAUGGCCCAUGGUCAGAGAUGAAGGGAGUUAUAGGACAACAAACAAAUUGAGUUCACCAGGUUGGCCACCCUUGGCCUAGCUGGAUGAAGAACCACAUCUGCAAAUGGG